UACGUAGGGUGCUAGCGUUGUUCGGAAUCAUUGGGCGUAAAGCGCGUGCAGGCUGUUAGUUAAGUCGGGUGUGAAAUCCCUGGGCUCAACCGAGGAAGUGCAUCCGAAACUAGCUAGCUAGAGAGUGGUAGAGGAAGGUGGAAUUCCAAGUGUAGAGGUGAAAUUCGUAGAUAUUUGGAGGAAUACCGGUGGCGAAGGCGGCCUUCUGGACCAUUUCUGACGCUGAGACGCGAAAGCGUGGGGAGCAAACAGG
rnacentral:rRNA from 1 species